rnacentral:rRNA from 1 species
GUGUGGAAUUUUGGACAAUGGGCGAAAGCCUGAUCCAGCCAUGCCGCGUGCAGGAUGAAGGCCCUCGGGUUGUAAACUGCUUUUGUACGGAACGAAAAGCCUGGGGCUAAUAUCCCCGGGUCAUGACGGUACCGUAAGAAUAAGCACCGGCUAACUACGUGCCAGCAGCCGCGGUAAUACGUAGGGUGCAAGCGUUAAUCGGAAUUACUGGGCGUAAAGCGUGCGCAGGCGGUUUUGUAAGACAGUGGUGAAAUCCCCGGGCUCAACCUGGGAACUGCCAUUGUGACUGCAAGGCUAGAGUGCGGCAGAGGGGGAUGGAAUUCCGCGUGUAGCAGUGAAAUGCGUAGAUAUGCGGAGGAACACCGAUGGCGAAGGCAAUCCCCUGGGCCUGCACUGACGCUCAUGCACGAAAGCGUGGGGAGCAAACAGGAUUAGAAACCCGGGUAGUCC